CUACGGGCGGCUCCAGUCGAGGAACUUUUACAAUGCUCGCAAGAGUGAUAAAAUAAACCAGAGUGUUUCUCCUAGAGAAACUUUUGUCUGCUGUAAAAAUGCAGAUGAAUAAGGACUGGGCAAGACCGGUGCCAGCCGCCGCGGUAAUACCGGCGGUCCAAGUCGCAUCCACAUUUAUUGGGUCUAAAACAUUCGUAGCUUGUUUUACAAGUCCCUUGUGAAAUCUGACAUCUCAAGUGUCAGGCGCGCAAGAGAUACUGUAUUACUAGAGACCGGAAGAUGCAAAGAGUAUGAUUGAGGUAGCGGUAAAAUGUGUUAAUCUCGAUUAGACUAACAAUGGCGAAGGCACUUUGCAAGUACGGAUCUGACAGUGAGGAAUGAAGGCUAGGGGCGCAAAAGGGAUUAGAUACCCCGGUAGUC
rnacentral:rRNA from 1 species